rnacentral:rRNA from 1 species
AACGAGCGCUGGCGGCGUGCUUAACACAUGCAAGUCAAACGGGUGGUAACACCAGUGGCGCACGGGUGAGUAAUGCAUGGGUCAUCUGCCUCGUAGAGGGGGAUAACUACGCGAAAGUGUAGCUAAUACCGCAUACGCAGGAGACUGCAAAGGAGGGGACCGCAAGGCCUUCCGCUACGAGAUGAGCUCAUGUCCCAUUAGCUUGUUGGCGGGGUAACAGCCCACCAAGGCGAAGAUGGGUAGCUGGUCUGAGAGGACGAUCAGCCACACUGGAACUGAGACACGGUCCAGACUCCUACGGGAGGCAGCAGUGGGGAAUAUUGCGCAAUGGGCGAAAGCCUGACGCAGCAACGCCGCGUGAGUGAUGAAGGCCUUCGGGUUGUAAAGCUCUUUCGGUUGGGAAGAAGGGUGUGCGUACUAAUACUAUGUACAUUUGAUGGUACCAAAAGAAGAAGCACCGGCUAACUUCGUGCCAGCAGCCGCGGUAAUACGAAGGGUGCGAGCGUUGUUCGGAAUGACUGGGCGUAAAGGGUUCGUAGGCGGGAGAGCAAGUUAAGUGUGAAAUCCCCAGGCUCAACCUGGGACGUGCAUUUAAAACUGCUUUUCUUGAGUCGAGGAGAGGGUGAUGGAAUUGCUGGUGUAGGAGUGACAUCCGUAGAGAUCAGCAGGAACACCGGAGGCGAAGGCGAUCACCUGGCCGAAGACUGACGCUGAGGAACGAAAGCGUGGGGAGCAAACAGGAUUAGAUACCCUGGUAGUCCACGCCGUAAACGAUGAUAACUAGAUGUUGCGGGAAUUGACCCCUGCAGUAUCGCAGCUCACGCAUUAAGUUAUCCGCCUGGGGAGUACGGCCGCAAGGCUA